AGGAGCUGGAUGAGAAGAAACUCUCAUGUCCGGUUCUGUAAUAGAGAUGGAAUUGAGAAACAACCAUCAACUAUAAC
rfam:Ricinus communis cultivar Hale ctg_1100012362035, whole genome shotgun sequence.